UACGUAGGGUGCGAGCGUUAAUCGGAAUUACUGGGCGUAAAGCGUGCGCAGGCGGUUUUUUAAGCCAGAUGUGAAAUCCCCGGGCUCAACCUGGGAACUGCAUUUGGAACUGGAAGACUAGAGUAUAGCAGAGGGGGGUAGAAUUCCACGUGUAGCAGUGAAAUGCGUAGAUAUGUGGAGGAAUACCAAUGGCGAAGGCAGCCCCCUGGGUUAAUACUGACGCUCAUGCACGAAAGCGUGGGGAGCAAACAGGGAUUAGAUACCCUGGUAGUCCACGCCCUAAACGAUGUCAACUAGGUGUUGGGGGAGGAGACUUCCUUAGUACCGCAGCUAACGCGUGAAGUUGACCGCCUGGGGAGUACGGUCGCAAGAUUAAAACUC
rnacentral:rRNA from 1 species